UAGAUACGAAACCCGAGCCGAUCGAACGGCUGCAUCUGCAUGGCUGAAUCAGUCUAGUCCGGCGCCAUCUUUGUUUUUGUGAGCUCGGUGUUUGCACGUGAGAUCACCGUUUUCUUCGCACGCGUCCGCUUUCUCAAAAUGUGUUGUAUGAGGUGGAUUGCGAAGCAGCAGUGGGAUAUUUUCCCUGAAUGGGCUAUGCAGAUCCUAGAGUAGGAGCGAGUCUUCUCACAGAAUCGAGACAAUCAAGAUGGCAUCGAAAGGCAGCCCUGCCGUGUCCUCGUUGUGUGUUGGAUAGAAGAAGAACCUCCGGUUGAGGACCACAUUUCGCGUUGAAGACGACGAAUACGUUGGGGGAACCGGGGCGAGCAGUAACACGCGGGCAAGCAGUAUACCUGCUCGAAAAGGACGACUCAAGUUUCAGUGCAGGCCGCGACUUUUACUUGGUGUGUGUGAGCUUGUGCCUUUAUUGUCAUCAACCAAGGAACUUCUCUGACACAAUUCGUGAGAAAAGAACGAUGCGCACUGCACAGCAGCUAGCUAGGUCGGUGAGAAGCAGAUUCCGAAGGGGAUUAGCCGAUGAGGCUUCGUUAAGGAUCCUGACCAUUUCGCUCAGAUUCACUCCAGACAAGAACUCCUGAUUGUAUACCCCAGGAGCAACAAGGGAGGUCAUGUCUGAACUUGCACGUCAGGACCAGAAAGCAGUUUCAGCAGGGCAGCACAGGACAAGAUGCUGAGGACACAGUGACCACCGUGCAACUGAAGUCUUGCCUGUGUCCCAUGUGAUGAACAGUUGUCUACCCAUAGUUUUCUACAUUACAUACUACCUGCCUGUGGAACCCCCCAGCUCUUAUGUACAGGUAUCCGCACAGUUAACUAAUCUCCAGCUCCUGUGGCUUUGCCCCGAUAAGCGCCCAACUAACGGCUGACGACGCAAACACUAGUGAACUCGUCCAGAGGUGGCGGGAUUUUUCUUCUACUGCAUUCCUGUGCGCACUCGUGCUAUAAGACAAAAACAUACACGCGCGCAACAGAAUAGCAGAAAAAAAGAUAAGAAGUCUGCAAUCUUCAUCUUUUUUUCUUUGUGUGUGUGUCUCAUACGACAUACCUUCGUUUGUAAGCGUGAGUUGGGCCCACCCCUGGACGAGGUCACUUGUGUUUGCGUCGCCAGCCGCUAGUUGGGCACUUAUCGGAGCAAAGCCACGGGAGCGGGAGAUGGGUUAUCUGUACAGAUACCUGUACAUAAAAAAGAUUUAGGACAUUUAGCAAAAGCUCGGUAUACCUGAGCAAAGCUCCCAGAAUUUUUUCAACUUUGCACAGCUGAGAAUUUAAUUACUUUUACAGCUGUCAUAUCUUAGUACUUGCAUUUUCCUCAAGUAAAUCUUGGUCCCUGUUGCAAACGCCCUUGCCAAACACAUGCCAUGUUUUCCGGUCCAUAAAAUAGUCUUAUUCAGUGCCGGAUUUAGAGGAGGGCUGACGGGGCACUUGUCCCGGGGCCCCCACCACUGUAAUUCCGGCACUGGUCUUAUUACUGAUGUCAGGCCACAGAGACAGUAGUCAGUAAUUUAGAUAGCUAUUUGGAUUUCUACCUUUUAUACCUUAGAUAUUUUGAAUUUACCUCAAGUACAAACAGUUUUGCUUUUAGGCUGCAGCAGAGCGCUCCUUUGUGUUCCUAUUGACCUUUUGAUGGGCUUGCUGGUGGUUAACGAAUUUACACUCAGUCUUCUGUGCUGCUGUGCGCACAAAGGUCAUGUGCCAUAACGACAUUAUGUACAGCUUCUAUAAAGAUUUUCCAAUUUUGGAAUAUGUCCUGUACGCCUUAGCAAGCCUCACACAAAUUUCGUAAGUUUUAGUGCUUCACGUUGCUUAUAGUUUAGUUAGUCGUGUUUACAACUAUUCAUCUCGAUUGGUUGUGUUUGUCACAUUCAUUUUACCGGUGAACAUCCAGAUCCAAUUGAGUAACAAGCAAUCUGUUUUGCAUGCUGUUUUUUCAUACCUGUUGCAAAAAUCUUUGCCAAACAAGAGCAUCGUGUACUAUACAAGCACGGUUGUCUGAGAUAUGCAUCUUUUCCAAAUUUUCUUGUUGUCCUUUCUGUGUCCUAUUCUUUUCCAAGGUGACAAUGGGGAAUUGUGUGGCCACAGGCUGCAGCUUUUAGACAACUGUGUCCAGUUAUUUUCGUCCAUAAAAAGGCACAGUAUAGGGAGUGUGCGAUAAACUGGUGGCGCCGCGAUGCGGCCUCCGGAGAAAGUACCUCGCGUGAUAGCCGCCGGGUAGCUAGCUUUGUUUACAUGUGAAGUGCGGGUGUCUUUUUUUGCUACACUGGAACUGUUGGAUCGCUAACUGUGACAGCACCUAAAAGAACUCUUCAUUAGGGACCUGAUGUUUCAUUUCUCGUGAUUUCUAUGCUUCCAAUACCACCGAGGUCACUAGACUGGCAGCGAAUAGCGUUUGUGACGCGCGUUCGGCCAUUGCAUGAGGUGUGCACAACAUAUUCUAUUUCUUUUGUUCUAGUUUCAAUGAAACUGAAUGAGGACCUGCAAAAUGAUCAAUUAUUUACAGUUGCCACUUUCGUGACAGUGAAACGCCGCUGGAUCGUGUUACUGAUUGAGGUGUUUCAUCGCCAGUGCCCAGAGACGAUAUUGCUCACGGUAAUCUGGUUGACGAGUCUCACAGUGAGAACGGAAGUUCUACGUUGUCCAAAAGGUUUAGUUUUAAUAUUUACGCACCAACCAUUUCACAGCUGUCGUGCCGCAAGCCUAUGGCGGUAACCGAGGUAAAAACUCAUAUAAUUUCUUCUUUGAGUAUCUCUUUAGCGUUUUGUAUCUGAAGAUACUGGAAAAACUGCAGUACAAGUUUAGACAAUAAGUUGUGACCUCACGUGUUUAUUUGUAUGGAUAAAACGGACGCAGGGUGUAGAUUUCUGUGACGAAGCUAUGUGUGUGCAAAGAGGACGAAAGGAAUACAAGACUCAGUCAAAAACAUGUUACAAGUGGCUGAAAUCAGAGAAAUACACGUAUAUAGCCUUCGCUAGCAAGCCAAGAUUUUGUGAGGCGUCAAAUAACCAUCCUCUCGACGUAUCACUUACAGGUGUUUUGACCAGACAGACGCGAGUGGCUGUUCUCUUUCUGCACUGUUAGAUGCAUUAUAAAUACGGUGGUUGCUUCUGUGCAGUUUGUCUCAAUUCUCUUCGUUCGCGCCCCAGAAAGGUUCCACAUUAUUUGCACUUCGAAAAUUAGCCCUUCUAAUUACGGCGGUCGCCACGCAAGCUACGGUUCCACUUCAGAAUGCAUAGAACGGGCGACGUGGUAUCACGUCGGAUACUUCCAAGACCGCCACUGGCGGCGCUGUCGCGACGGAGCAGCGCGCCCCCUUUAGGUGUCGCACGGUCCCUAUAUGUGCCUUUUUGUUACCUCAGUGGUUUUUAUGCCCUUACAGUUUAGUUUUUUAUACAUGUGUAUGUACUAUUAGCAUUUACCUAAAGCUACAGUUUUACCGAUGCCUUCAGGGCAAAUCAGAGGACUCUUUUUUAUGAUAGUGAGCUUAUCGACGAUCUCGCUGGUGCUCUAGGUUCACCCUGUACGCAAAUAUAUGUAUUGCCAUCUUGAUAUGUAUCUCAGAAUUUUUUGUUUUCUAAUUUACAUCUUAUAUACGUUCUUCGCAAUAUUUUGCUACCUUGCCUUACAUUUGCUGUUGAUGUGUGAGGUUAUUUUGCUUCCAUCUACUGGAAGGUUUUUAAGAAUAAACCUAGUUAUUCUUACAUUUGCA